rnacentral:rRNA from 1 species
UGGGGAAUUUUGGACAAUGGACGAAAGUCUGAUCCAGCCAUGCCGCGUGCGGGAAGAAGGCCUUCGGGUUGUAAACCGCUUUUGUCAGGGAAGAAAAGCGCUGGGCUAAUACCCCGGCGUCAUGACGGUACCUGAAGAAUAAGCACCGGCUAACUACGUGCCAGCAGCCGCGGUAAUACGUAGGGUGCAAGCGUUAAUCGGAAUUACUGGGCGUAAAGCGUGCGCAGGCGGCUUUGCAAGACAGAUGUGAAAUCCCCGGGCUCAACCUGGGAACUGCAUUUGUGACUGCAAGGCUAGAGUACGGUAGAGGGGAGUGGAAUUCCGCGUGUAGCAGUGAAAUGCGUAGAUAUGCGGAGGAACACCGAUGGCGAAGGCAGCUCCCUGGACCUGUACUGACGCUCAUGCACGAAAGCGUGGGGAGCAAACAGGAUUAGAUACCCUGGUAGUCCACGCCCUAAACGAUGUCAACUGGUUGUUGGGAGGGUUUCUUCUCAGUAACGUAGCUAACGCGUGAAGUUGACCGCCUGGGGAGUACGGCCGCAAGGUUGA